GAUUCAUUUAAUUGAUGAGGAGUUUCAGAAGGCGCUGGGGGGUGUUACUCGUGGUGCGGACAGAAAGGUGGAUUUGAAACACUUUAUGGAGAGCGUGAUGGGCACCCAGCGGCCUUCCUGGUGUGAAAGGGAUAAAGUGGAUCUCCAGAACCUGGAUGACAUCCUGGGUAGCAUGGGGGUCCAUUUAGCCAGUGAGGAGCUGCAAGCGGCGCUGAAACAUGUGACUGUUGAUG